rnacentral:tRNA from 105 species
AGGGCUAUAGCUCAGCGGUAGAGCGCCUCGUUUACACCGAGAAUGUCUACGGUUCGAAUCCGUAUAGCCCUA